AGGUGGUAGUAUUUAAGAGGUCUGGGAAUAUUUGUUUGAAAAUUAUUAGUGUAGAUGGUCUUCAGAUUGUAUUUAAGUAAUAGACAUCAUGAUACUCCUCAGAAGACUAUGAAGAGAUACAAAACAAACAAACAACAAACAAAACAAAGCAUAUUCCAGAAGACAAUUCAAACAGUGACCUCUUCAAAGGUUAGAGGAAUAGCAGAAAAGAAAAAGCAAACAGAAAAUCAUGAGGCUUCCCGUGAAUCACUGCCUUUCUAUCUUGUUUGAAAUAGACAAAUUCAAAAUUUUCAGUGUGAAUCUUCCAUGGACCGAAAUGCAAAAACAUAAAAGAAAAAGAAAAGUUGCAUUGAUUUUAUCCAGAAUUCAAGAGAAGCAAAUGCCUAAUUUGACUCAGCAUAACCAAGCACAGUUGUGUAAUCCAGAAUCUACAACAGAAACCAAAUCCCGCAUAUCAUCCAUUGUAAAUCCUAAAUUUUUCUCAGCCUUGCUUCGGGGUGGUGGUGAAAAGGGCCAACUCUGGCAAUGACCAGUGCCCACAGAGGAAAUAAGAACUUAGCAAAAAACAAGUGAGUCAGGCAUGGAGGGCAGCCAAAAUCUUGCAGCCUGACUGAGUGGCAGGCUUUUGUGGAUGUACCUGUUCGUAUUUAUUCUGACUGAGGGUGUGUGGAAAGACUAACAACUGCACUCAUAUGCUGCUCCAAAAGUCACUCCUGAAAACCGUAACGAUUUGGGGACAUGGGUUAUGGCAGCUCUGUGGAGGAUGGACCCUAAGGUGGCCUACUGGCUUACUGAGGUGGCUCUACAAUGCAGGCAGACACGAUAGUAUGCUUGGCAUGGAGGUCAGCAGCAGUGGUAACCAAGGUACAACCACCCCUGGCUGGAAAAUUACAAUAUUAUAGAGGGAAAACAAGCAGGCCAAAGCAAGGCCCAGAAGAGGAACAAGCUGGAGAGGAAGGAUCAAAGUGCUUCGUUUUGGAACUCAGCGUGGUUUUGGAAACCAGCAGAGGAAAGAGUCAAACUUUCUCCAGUCUGCUUUUAAAACAUCACAGAAGAAUGAUUCAAGGCACCACUCAAUAAGGAAUCUGCAUGAGGGAAUACAGAAAAGUAAAUUGCAAGCCAUCAAAAAUGAAUGCAGUCAGUAGACUAUCUACUUCAGUACCCUUGCAAUGUGUUUUCUAGUGUUCUCUUUGUGUACUUUCUAGUAUUUGAAGAGUUGUCUACAUAAAUGACCCCUUACCUUUC